GGUGAAGAACGCAGCGAAAUGCGAUAAGUAAUGUGAAUUGCAGAAUUCAGUGAAUCAUCGAAUCUUUGAACGCACAUUGCGCCCCUUGGUAUUCCGGGGGGCAUGCCUGUUCGAGCGUCAUUUCAACCCUCAAGCUUCUGCUUGGUCUUGGGCCGUGCCGGCAACGGCUGGCCUUAAAACUAGUGGCGGUGCCAUCGAGCUCUACGCGUAGUAAUUCUAUCUCGCGUCUGGGCUUCGGUGGACGCUGGCCAGCAACCCCCAAUUUUCUAUGGUUGACCUCGGAUCAGGUAGGGAUACCCGCUGAACUUAAGCAUAUCAAUAAGCGGAGGA
rnacentral:misc_RNA from 1 species